rnacentral:sRNA from 1 species
UAUUUAAACUGCUGGAGUGCCCUCACCUGAAUGUGCGGAAGGCAGCCCAUGAGGCUCUGGGUCAGUUUUGCUGUGCACUGCACAAGGCCUGUCAAAGCUGCCCCUCGGAACCCAACACUGCUGGUGAGGAGAGGCUGGGCCAGGCUGGGGGUUCUUGGGGAGGGGCAGGGCCUGACUGGUGCUUCAGCCAAUAAUGUCCCCAGCUUUGCAGGCUGCCCUGGCCCGAGUGGUGCCAUCCUACAUGCAGGCAGUGAACAGGGAGCGGGAACGCCAGGUGGUGAUGGCCGUGCUGGAGGCCCUGACAGGGGUGCUCCGCAGCUGUGGGACCCUCACACUGAAGCCCCCUGGGCGCCUCGCUGAGCUCUGUGGCGUGCUCAAGGCUGUGCUGCAGAGGAAGACAGCCUGUCAGGAUACUGACGAGGAGGAGGAAGAGGAAGAUGAUGAUCAGGUGAGAGCCAGGGAUAAAAACUGGGACCAGGCGGUCCAGGCAGUCUCCACAGGGACAGGGGUGGACAGUGUAUUUGGGCUUGGCCUGGGGCAGCCAGGGCCACUAAAAGAGACUGGUAAUGGCCAGAGGGAUACAACCCUGAUCCCACUAAGCCAGUGGGAGUUCAGGGAAGGAGAGCAGUGUGGACUGGGGUGUGCUUGGAGUGAUAGGUAGGAGCAGAAGAGCCAGGGGAAGAAGCUGGGUCAUGGAAACACCC